CAGCAGUAGCCGCGGGAAUACAGAGGGUGCGAGCGUUAAUCGGAUUUACUGGGCGUAAAGCGUGCGUAGGCGGCUUCUUAAGUCGGAUGUGAAAUCCCUGAGCUUAACUUAGGAAUUGCAUUCGAUACUGGGAAGCUAGAGUAUGGGAGAGGAUGGUAGAAUUCCAGGUGUAGCGGUGAAAUGCGUAGAGAUCUGGAGGAAUACCGAUGGCGAAGGCAGCCAUCUGGCCUAAUACUGACGCUGAGGUACGAAAGCAUGGGGAGCAAACAGGAUUAGAUACCCGCGUAGUCCCUGUCUCUUAUAC
rnacentral:rRNA from 1 species